ensembl:misc_RNA 7SK 7SK RNA
GGAUAUGAAGAUGAUCCAGCAGUGACAUGUCACCUCAUUGAUUGCCAAGGUUGAUUUGAGUGAUCUGACUGGCUAGACAGGUGUCCUCUUCCUCCCUCACUUCUCCAAGUGUGUCCCUCCCAAAGCUGCAGGUUCAGGCAAAGAGGACAACCAUCACCAAAAGAGGAGGACUAUUCUUCAGUCAAGGGAAUGUGAGUAGCUGUGCUCCCCUGCUAGAACCUCCAAACAAGCUCUCAAGGAAGGUCCAUUUGUAGAACACAAGGUAGUCAAGCUUCCAAGACUCCAGACACAUCCAAGUGAGGCACUGCAUGAGGCAGUCUGCCUUUCUUU